rnacentral:rRNA from 1 species
UCAAGCAUGAAAGCGCACAUGGUGGAUGCCAUGGCGUCAGGAGGCGAUGAAGGACGUGCCAAUCUGCGAUAAGCCUAGGUAAGCCGAUAAGGGGCGCUUGAACCUAGGAUUUCCGAAUGGGGAAACCCGACACUUAGUGUCAUCUAUGCUGAAGUUAUAGAAGCGAACCAGGGGAAGUGAAACAUCUCAGUACCCUGAGGAAAAGAAAUCAAAUCAGAGAUUCCCUCAGUAGCGGCGAGCGAACGGGGAACAGCCCAAAAGUUGAUAUGUUCUAGUAGAAGCAGUUGGGAAACUGCAGGGCACAGGGUGAUACUCCCGUAUACGAAGGAGCAUAUUUGAUGAGCGUGAGUAGGGCGGGACACGUGAUAUCCUGUCUGAAUAUGGGGGGACCAUCCUCCAAGGCUAAAUACUACCUGACGACCGAUAGUGAACCAGUACCGUGAGGGAAAGGCGAAAAGAACCCCGGGAGGGGAGUGAAAAAGAACCUGAAACCGUGUGCGUACAAGCAGUGGGAGCCUACUUGUUAGGUGACUGCGUACCUUUUGUAUAAUGGGUCAGCGAGUUAUCUGUAUUAGCAGGUUAACCUAUAUGGGGGAGCCGUAGAGAAAUCGAGUCCUAACCGGCGAAUAGUUGAUACAGGUAGACCCGAAACUGGGUGAGCUAGUCCUGGCCAGGUUGAAAGCAGGGUAACACCUGCCGGAGGACCGAACCCACUAACGUUGCAAAGUUAGGGGAUGAGCUGGGACUAGGGGUGAAAGGCCAAUCAAACUCAGUGAUAGCUUGGUUCUCCUCGAAAGCUAUUUAGGUAGCGUUCUGCGAGGACGUAUGGGGGUAGAGCACUGUUAUGGGGAAGGGGCCCCAUCCGGGGUUGCCAAUCCAUUGCAAACUUUCGAAUACCAUACAGUUGGAAGCAGAGGACAGACGGUGGGUGCUAACGUUCAUCGUCAAGAGGGAAACAACCCGGACCGCCAGCUAAGGUCCCCAAGUUCUAGUUAAGUGGGAAACGAUGUGGGAAGGCAUAGACAGCCAGGAUGUUGGCUUAGAAGCAGCCAUCAUUUAAAGAAAGCGUAAUAGCUCACUGGUCGAGUCGGCCUGCGCGGAAGAUGUAACGGGGCUAAACUAGACACCGAAGCUGCGGAUUCACACGCAAGUGUGAGUGGUAGAGGAGCGUUCUGUAAACUGAUGAAGGUGAGGCGGGAGCCGAGCUGGAGGUAACAGAAGUGCGAAUGCUGACGUAAGUAACGAUAAAACACGUGAAAAGCGUGUUCGCCGAAAGACCAAGGGUUCCUGUCCAACGUUAAUCGGGGCAGGGUGAGUCGGUGCCUAAGGCGAGGCUGAAAAGCGUAGUCGAAGGGAAACAGGUCAAUAUUCCUGUACUUUACUUAAGUGCGAUGAGAUGACGGAGAAGGGAAAGUCAGCCACUUAUUGGAUUGUGGUGAAAGGCUGUAGGUAGAUACCGGGGUUAAAAGACUGGUAUCAGUGAUCUGAGAGCUGAGACGAAGCACCAUUGUGUGAAGUGACUCGUGCCCAUGCUUCCUGGAAAAGUCUCUAAGCUUCAGCUUAAGUAGAGCCGUACCCCAAACCGACACAGGUGGUCGGGUAGAGGAUACCAAGGCGCUUGGGAGAACUCAGGUGAAGGAACUAGGCAAAAUUGUACCGUAACUUCGGGAUAAGGUACGCUGUUACCGGUGAGAGGACUUGCUCCUUAAGCUGGGAACAGCCGCAGUGAAAUGGUGGCUGGGACUGUUUAACAAAAACACAGCACUCUGCAAACCUGAAAGGGGAAGUAUAGGGUGUGACACCUGCCCGGUGCUGGAAGAUUAAUUGAUGGGGUGCAAGCUCCUGAUCGAAGUCCCAGUAAACGGCGGCCGUAACUAUAACGGUCCUAAGGUAGCGAAAUUCCUUGUCGGGCAAGUUCCGACCUGCACGAAUGGCAUAAUGAUGGCCACACUGUCUCCUCCUGAGACUCAGUGAAGUUGAAAUGUUUGUGAUGAUGCAAUCUCCCCGCGGCUAGACGGAAAGACCCCAUGAACCUUUACUGCAGCUUUGCAUUGGACUUUGAACCGAUCUGUGUAGGAUAGGUGGGAGGCAGUGAAGCUAGGACGCCAGUCUUAGCGGAGCCAACCUUGAAAUACCACCCUGAUUUGUUUGAGGUUCUAACCUAGGAGCGUAAUCCGCUUCGGGGACCGUGCAUGGUAGGCAGUUUGACUGGGGCGGUCUCCUCCUAAAGGGUAACGGAGGAGUGCGAAGGUACGCUAGGUACGGUCGGAAAUCGUGCUGAUAGUGCAAUGGCAAAAGCGUGCUUGACUGCGAGACCGACAAGUCGAGCAGAUACGAAAGUAGGUCAUAGUGAUCCGGUGGCUCUGCAUGGAAGGGCCAUCGCUCAACGGAUAAAAGGUACUCUGGGGAUAACAGGCUGAUACCGCCCAAGAGUUCAUAUCGACGGCGGUGUUUGGCACCUCGAUGUCGGCUCAUCUCAUCCUGGGGCUGUAGCCGGUCCCAAGGGUAUGGCUGUUCGCCAUUUAAAGAGGUACGUGAGCUGGGUUUAAAACGUCGUGAGACAGUUUUGUCCCUAUCUGCCGUGGGCGUUGGAAGAUUGACGGGGGCUGCUCCUAGUACGAGAGGACCGGAGUGGACUCACCUCUGGUGUACCGGUUGUCACGCCAGUGGCAUCGCCGGGUAGCUAUGUGGGGAAAGGAUAACCGCUGAAAUUUUU